GAUGAGCGCUGACAGAAUGCUUAACACAUGCAAGUCAACUUGAAUUUGAGGUUUUUAACUUAGAUUUGGGUGGCGGACGGGUGAGUAACGCGUAAANGACUGCCCUCACAGCUAGGGACAACAUUUAGAAAUGAAUGCUAUACCUNGAUAUUAUGAUUUUAAGCAUUCUUAGAAUUAUGAAAGCUAUAAGCACUGUGAGAGAGCUUUGCGUCCCAUUAGCUAGUUGGAGAGGUAACAGCUCACCAAGGCGAUGAUGGGUAGCUGGCCUGGGAGGGUGAACGGCCACAAGGGGACUGAGACACGGCCCUUACUCCUACGGGAGGCAGCCAGUGGGGAAUAUUGGACAAUGGACCGAGAGUCUGAUCCAGCAAAUUCUGUGUGCACGAUGAAGUUUUUCGGAAUGUAAAGUGCUUUCAGUUGGGAAGAAAUAAAUGACGGUACCAACAGAAGAAGUGACGGCUAAAUACGUGCCAGCAGCCGCGGUAAUAUGUAUGUCACGAGCGCUAUCCGGAUUUAUUGGGCGUAAAGCGCGUCUAGGUGGUUAUGUAAGUCUGAUGUGAAAAUGCAGGGCUCAACUCUGUAUUGCGUUGGAAACUGUAUAACUAGAGUACUGGAGAGGUAAGCGGAACUACAAGUGUAGAGGUGAAGUUCGUAGAUAUUUGUAGGAAUGCCGAUGGGGAAGCCAGCUUACUGGACAGAUACUGACGCUAAAGCGCGAAAGCGUGGGUAGCAAACAGGAUUAGAUACCCUGGUAGUCC
rnacentral:rRNA from 1 species